UGCAGACAAAGUGGAUUUCUAAGCCAGAUGGUUCUCCAUUUGAGGCAGUCAACAGUAUUUGGCAAUCUGAACUUUCCAUAACUCCAGUGACAAGCUGGGAUGCUCUAGCCAGGAAGCUGAGAUACUGAGAUCCAGAACAUACAGGACCAGCAGAUGCUGAACAGGGCUGAGGAUGUGGUUUCCAGCCCAACUACCUCAGGAGUCCAUCAGGCACAGUAUGCCUAUUUCUUGCUCUGUAGGCUGGAGAAUGUGUAGCAACAUACCCUUGAUCAUGAAACUACAGCCUGUGCGUGGGAUCUAGGUUCUGUCCCAACCUUGAGGAGCAUCUGCCUGAAGCUUGGAGCUCCGGCGUGACCCUGGGGCCCUUUGGCCUGGGCCCAGCUGCAGGCUUCAUCUGGCUGUCUGCAUUGCUCUCUGGUAAUGAGUUCCCCUCCCCUGGAGAAAUUUUCCCAGAAGUUCCACCCACGCCCACUUGCCAGGGUGGCUGUAAAAGGAA